UACGUAGGGUGCGAGCGUUAAUCGGAAUUACUGGGCGUAAAGCGUGCGCAGGCGGUUAUAUAAGACAGAGGUGAAAUCCCCGGGCUCAACCUGGGAACUGCCUUUGUGACUGUAUAGCUUGAGUGCGGCAGAGGGGGAUGGAAUUCCGCGUGUAGCAGUGAAAUGCGUAGAUAUCGUCUGGAACGCCAAUGGUGCAGACAGGCUGCUGGGGAUGUACUGACGCUGAGGCACGAAAGCCAGGGGAGCAAACGGG
rnacentral:rRNA from 1 species